rfam:Streptomyces sp. MBRL 601 scaffold00359, whole genome shotgun sequence.
GUCGACCGGCCGGGCACCUGUGUCCGGCCACAAGUGGAGGCUCCGAUCUCCCACCUGGCCGUCCUCCGGACGGCGGGUCACCGGUCAGGCCGCCGCACCCCGAGUGUGGCAGGCCCGAUGUGCGCCCCGCGUCCACGCGGCGGUGUUCCGGUAGUCCAGGAGCCCCGCGUGUGAUCGUCCGGGGCAUUUUUC